rnacentral:lncRNA from 1 species
CUGCCUAUUGAUUUCCCUGGCUUCCUUUAAGUUUCAACAAAAAUUCAAUUUUUUAGAGGGACUCUUUCCCUACCCUUCUGAAAAAAUAUUCUAGUUUUCCCUCUCUUAAUUAUUUCCUAUUUAUCCUGUAUAAAGCUUGUUUGUAUGUAGUUGUUUGUUCCCUCCUUUGCCAUUUUAUUGUGAGUUCCUUAAUGGUAAAGACUAUAUAUUUGCUUCUUUUUGUAUGUAUAGCACUUAGCACAAUGACUGGUACAUAGUAGGUGCUUAAUAAAUGCUUAUUGAUUGAAUGAAUGAAUUAUCCAGUAGGGCUCUGGAACCAGAGAAUGUGGACCCUGAACUCCUCUGGAAAGUUCUAGAGUCUUUGGGGAUAUGGUGCCCGAGAGCUGAGCUUUUGGAAUUGACAAACUUCCUGUAUGCUUCUGGCCAUAUGGUGGUCCAACAUUUAUUGAAGUAUGACAACCUUGCUUCAGCAUGACAAUCCUGAGUGGUUCCUUGGCCCUCCCUUCACCUAUGACAGUUCAGAAAGAGUCAUCCAAGUCCAGAGGCAAGACAAAAGUCAGGAUGACUGGUGACAGCUUGGGGUAUAGUGGACCUUGUCAUCUUCAAUGUCUGGCCACAGCCUGCUUCAGCUGCCUUCCAGGCUAUUGGAACAAAUUGUUCCCAUUCUAGCAGGGGAAGUCUUCAGAAACUUGAGGUAGACACCUCCCUGACUCACUAACAGCCAAAAUAAUAUGAUGCCAAAUUAAGUCCAUCUCUUGGAAAGAAAGGAAGAUAACCAAAUGAGACAUCGGGAUUAAUUGGGCAAUGUGUGUGUGGCUGCACUGGAUUGAAGGGAGACUCAAAUCUAGUUGGAGAUCUUCCUGCCUUCCUGGGGUGGUUCUCAGAGCAGAGACUCAAAGCAGAAAACUAUUGAUUUUUGACAUUAUGAAAUAUGAUUAUUUGACAUUUAUGACACAAUUGACAUUAUGACCUUUGACUCACAGAUACUGGUCUACUACUCCAAUAUGGAGAAUGUGCUGACUACUAAAAGGGAAAGAAUAAGAAUAUGAGUGACAAAAGAAAAUAAAAAAUAGACUAAAAUACUAAAGAUUAAGAGG